rnacentral:tRNA from 1 species
GCGGACGUGGCGGAACUGGUAUACGCAGCAGACUUAAAAUCUGUCGCCUCCGGGAUUACGGGUUCGAGUCCCGUCGUCCGCA